CACAUAGUUAGCCGGGGCUUCCUCCUUAGGUACAGUCUUUUAUCUUCCCUAAUGACAAUAGUUUACAAUCCGAAAACCUUCUUCCUAUACGCGGCGUCACUGCGUCAGAGUUUCCCCCAUUGCGCAAUAUUCCCGACUGCUGCCUCCCGUAGGAGUCUGGGCCGUAUCUCAGUCCCAAUGUGGCCGUUCAACCUCUCAGUCCGGCUACUGAUCGUAGUCUUGGUAGGCCGUUACCCCACCAACUAACUAAUCAGACGCAAGCCCAUCUAUCAGCGGAUUACUCCUUUCCUCACUGUAUCAUGUGAUACUGUGAGCAUAUGCGGUAUUAGCAAUGAUUUCUCACUGUUAUUCCCCUCUGAUAGGCAGGUUGCUUACGUGUUACUCACCAGUCCGCCACUAACCGCUCUCAAUCUAAAAGAUGAGUUAAGUCCGUUGACUUGCAUGUCUUAUGUGCCGCCGCCAGCGUUUAUCCUGAGCCAGGAAUCAAACUCUACG
rnacentral:rRNA from 1 species